GAUGAAGAACGUAGUGAAAUGCGAAAAGUAAUGUGAAUUGCAGAAUUCAGUGAAUCAUCGAAUCUUUGAACGCACAUUGCGCCCGCCAGUAUUCUGGCGGGCAUGCCUGUCUGAGCGUCAUUUCAACCCUCAUGCCCCUAGGGCGUGGUGUUGGGGAUCGGCCAAAGCCCGCGAGGGACGGCCGGCCCCUAAAUCUAGUGGCGGACCCGUCGUGGCCUCCUCUGCGAAGUAGUGAUAUUCCGCAUCGGAGAGCGAUGAGCCCCUGCCGUUAAACCCCCAACUUUCCAAGGUUGACCUCAGAUCAGGUAGGAAUACCCGCUGAACUUAAGCAUAUCAAUAAGCGGAGGA
rnacentral:misc_RNA from 1 species